ACAGAAUGACAGAUGGUGCAUGGUUGUCGUCAGCUCGUGUCGUGAGAUGUUAGGUUAAGUCCUGCAACGAGCGCAACCCUUUUCUUUAGUUACUAAUAUUAAGUUAAGGACUCUAGAGAUACUGCCUGGGUAACCAGGAGGAAGGUGGGGACGACGUCAAAUCAUCAUGCCUCUUACGAGUGGGGCAACACACGUGCUACAAUGGUCGGUACAAAGAGAAGCAAUAUGGUGACAUGGAGCAAAUCUCAAAAAACCGAUCUCAGUUCGGAUUGAAGUCUGCAACUCGACUUCAUGAAGUCGGAAUCGCUAGUAAUCGUAGAUCAGCUACGCUACGGUGAAUACGUUCUCGGGUUUUGUACACACCGCCCGUCGCACCAUGGGAGUUGGUAAUGCCCAAAGUCGGUGAGUUAACUUCGGAGACCAUUGCCUAAGGCAGGACUGAUGACUGGGGUAAAGUCGUAACAAGGUAUCCC
rnacentral:rRNA from 1 species